rnacentral:misc_RNA from 1 species
AAAAAUUAAAGAUAACUGAGAAUGCGAUUUUACCACGUUAAGCUUAGCUUGCUCUCCUGAUUCCUUAGAGGAAGGAUAUAGAGGAGCGUUAAUCGCUGCGAAAUUGUUCCACGAUCCAUUCAAGUCGUAUGCCAUUAAAUUAAUAAUGUGAGGAUAUUGUGAAAUUUGCGAAAUAAGUUUUCUUUGUCAGCUGGUUUACCGCCACGCUGGUUCGGAUAUUCCCAAUCGAAGUCGAAACCGUCGAAAUCAUAUGUUUUCAAAAACCUAAUCACGUUUUGAACGAAUCGUGCACGUACGUUAGGAUUCGCUACAACAUUAGAAUAUUUCGUGGAACCUUCGUUCCAACCACCCAUCGCUAUCAAAGCCUUAGUUUCUGGACUCAGUUGACGAAGUCUGGUGAAUUUUCCAUAACCAUCUCGGCCGUUUGGCAAAUCUAGCCAGCUAUCUAAUAUUCUAACGUUACCAUCCUCAGAAAUACCAACGAAAGUAUAAAUUAUAUGAGUACAUAGAUUUGGAUCUAUGUCGGUCGAUUCGAAUUGUCCAAGUCCACGACGAUAAGCUGCCCAGCUACCAUAGUAACAGACUAUCUUCUCUGAACAUUAGAAAGGAAUUACGAUAUUACAACUUAAGUUGUUUGAUAUGGCAAUUACAUAGAAGAACAGAACAUAUCUGGUAUUACGAAAUUAAUGAACUGAUUAAAUACUGAUAAAGAACUUCAAAAAUAAUAAAUGUAUUGAUUAUUUACAAUUUAUUUAUCAGUAAUCAUGUAUUUGAUACU